AUUGAACGCUGGCGGCAGGCCUAACACAUGCAAGUCGAACGAGUGGCGGACGGGUGAGGAAUGUCUGGGAAACUGCCUGAUGGAGGGGGAUAACUACUGGAAACGGUAGCUAAUACCGCAUACCAUCGGAUGUGCACAGCUGGGAUUUGCUAGUAUGUGGGGUAACGGCUCACCUAGGCGACGAUCCCUAGCUGGUCUGAGAGGAUGACCAGCUACACUGGAACUGAGACACGGUCCAGACGCCUACGGGAGGCAGGAGUGGGGAAUAUUGCACAAUGGGCGCAAGCCUGAUGCAGCCAUGGCGCGUGUAUGAAGAAGGCCGGCGGGUUGUAAAGUACUUUCAGCGGGGAGGCGUUACCCGCAGAAGAAGCACCGGCUAACUCCGUGCCAGCAGCCGCGGUAAUUC
rnacentral:rRNA from 1 species